CCUAUCAUGAAUAAUUUCUUUUCCUCAGCAUGAACUGGGAGAUUUGCCUCACAACCACUGCCACCAGAACUGUACUUACUGAUAUCAUGCCAGGGUAGAUGUGUUUUUGUGGCUGGACCAGGAGUUCCUAUAGUUCCUAUUUGUCUAUAGCAAAAUACACAGUAAGCAGUCCCCACCUCUGCACUCGCACGACGAAGGCGAGGCCCGAGGCACCGCUGUUACCUCGGGAGCGGCAGACAGAGCCGCUCGGCAGGCCCAGGCCGAGGGGCAGAGGAGGCGCGCUCGCCGCUGCGGGCUGCUGGAGCCAGAAAGGACUUCGAGUCCGAGGUCGUGAAAACAGUAAUAAAUACUAAACCAGGAAGGCAAGUAAACCUCCUGCAGUAAACAGGAGGCAGGUAGUGACAGAGGUACUGACAUUCCACUCGGGUCCCA